rnacentral:rRNA from 1 species
AGCUAUAUGAAUUAAUAUAUAGUUAUUUCUGCUCCAUGAUUAUUAAAUAGCCGCAGUACCCUGACUGUGCAAAGGUAGCAUAAUCAGUUGGCUCUUAAUUAGGGUCUGGUAUGAAAGAAAAUAUGGGUAGUAACUGUCUUAAUAUAUUUAUUUGAAAUUAAUAAGCAAGUGCAAAUACUUGCAUACAUAAAAAAGACGAGAAGACCCUAGAAACUUGAAAUGGGUUUUGUUGGGGCGACAGAAUUACACUUAACUAAUUUUAUGGGACAUGACACGAAGUUGAAAGAAUAAGUUACUCUAGGGAUAACAGCAUAAUUUAAAUAGUUUGUGACCUCGAUGUUGGACUAGGUAUUAUACCUUUAAGGUAAAGUUAUAAAAUGCUCUGUUCGAGCAUAUACACCUACAU